rnacentral:rRNA from 1 species
AGCGGCGGAUGGGUGAGUAACACGUGGGGAACCUGCCCCUAAGUCUGGGAUACCAUUUGGAAACAGGUGCUAAUACCGGAUAAUAAAGCAGAUCGCAUGAUCAGCUUUUGAAAGGCGGCGUAAGCUGUCGCUAAGGGAUGGCCCCGCGGUGCAUUAGCUAGUUGGUAAGGUAACGGCUUACCAAGGCGACGAUGCAUAGCCGAGUUGAGAGACUGAUCGGCCACAUUGGGACUGAGACACGGCCCAAACUCCUACGGGAGGCAGCAGUAGGGAAUCUUCCACAAUGGACGCAAGUCUGAUGGAGCAACGCCGCGUGAGUGAAGAAGGUUUUCGGAUCGUAAAGCUCUGUUGUUGGUGAAGAAGGAUAGAGGUAGUAACUGGCCUUUAUUUGACGGUAAUCAACCAGAAAGUCACGGCUAACUACGUGCCAGCAGCCGCGGUAAUACGUAGGUGGCAAGCGUUGUCCGGAUUUAUUGGGCGUAAAGCGAGCGCAGGCGGAAAAAUAAGUCUAAUGUGAAAGCCCUCGGCUUAACCGAGGAACUGCAUCGGAAACUGUUUUUCUUGAGUGCAGAAGAGGAGAGUGGAACUCCAUGUGUAGCGGUGGAAUGCGUAGAUAUAUGGAAGAACACCAGAGGCGAAAGGCGGCUCUCUGGUCUGCAACUGGCGCUGAGGCUCGAAAGCAUGGGUAGCGAACAGGAUUAGAUACUCCUGGUAGUCCAUGCCGUAAACGAUGAGUGCUAAGUGU